rnacentral:ncRNA from 1 species
CUUCAGGGCAGGGAGGAUUUCCCGACCGGCGGUAAAGUCCGCGAGCAGUAAAAUGCACGAUCCGGUGCGAUUCCGGGACCGACAGUAAAGUCUGGAUGGAAGAAGU